rnacentral:rRNA from 8 species
GGACGACUCUCGGCAACGGAUAUCUCGGCUCUCGCAUCGAUGAAGAACGUAGCGAAAUGCGAUACCUGGUGUGAAUUGCAGAAUCCCGUGAACCAUCGAGUCUUUGAACGCAAGUUGCGCCCGAGGCCAUCCGGCUAAGGGCACGCCUGCCUGGGCGUCACGCUU